UACGUAGGGGGCAAGCGUUGUCCGGAAUCAUUGGGCGUAAAGAGCGUGUAGGCGGCCCGAUAGGUCCGCUGUGAAAGUCCAGGGCUCAACCCUGGGAUGCCGGUGGAUACUGUCGGGCUCGAGUCCGGAAGAGGAGUGUGGAAUUCCGUGGUGUAGCGGUGAAAUGCGCAGAUAUCAGGAGGAACACCAAUGGCGAAGGCAGCACUCUGGGGCGUGACUGACGCUGAGACGCGAAAGCGUGGGGAGCGAACAGG
rnacentral:rRNA from 1 species